UACGUAGGGUGCGAGCGUUAAUCGGAAUUACUGGGCGUAAAGCGUGCGCAGGCGGUUCGCCAAGUCAGGUGUGAAAUCCCCGGGCUUAACCUGGGAAUUGCGCUUGAAACUAGCGGGCUUGAGUGUGGCAGAGGGGGGGUGGAAUUCCACGGUGUAGCAGUGAAAUGCGUAGAGAUGUGGAGGAACACCGAUGGCGAAGGCAGCCCCCUGGGCCUGCCACGUGACGCCUCGAUGCACGAAAGCGUGGGGAG
rnacentral:rRNA from 1 species